GACGAACGCUGGCGGCGUGCUUAACACAUGCAAGUCGAACGGAAAGGCCCUGCUUUUGUGGGGUGCUCGAGUGGCGAACGGGUGAGUAACACGUGAGUAACCUGCCCUUGACUUUGGGAUAACUUCAGGAAACUGGGGCUAAUACCGGAUAGGAGCUCCUGCUGCAUGGUGGGGGUUGGAAAGUUUCGGCGGUUGGGGAUGGACUCGCGGCUUAUCAGCUUGUUGGUGGGGUAGUGGCUUACCAAGGAUUUGACGGGUAGCCGGCCUGAGAGGGUGACCGGCCACAUUGGGACUGAGAUACGGACCAGACUCCAACGGGAGGCAGCAGUGGGGAAUAUUGCACAAUGGGCGGAAGCAUGAUGAAGAAACGCAGCGUGCGGGAUGACGGCCUUCGGGUUGUAAACCGCUUUCGACUGUGACGAAGCGUGAGUGACGGUAAUGGGUAAAGAAGCACCGGCUAACUACGUG
rnacentral:rRNA from 1 species